rnacentral:pre_miRNA from 1 species
AAUGGGAUAGCUGGGUCAAAUGGUGGUUUCAUUCCAAGUUUUCUGAGGAAUUUCCAUACCAUUUUCCAUAAUGGUUGCACCAAUUUGCAUUCCCAUCAGUAAU